rnacentral:rRNA from 1 species
GAUGAACGCUGGCGGCGUGCCUAAUACAUGCCAGUAGAACGCUGAAGGAAGGAGCUUGCUCUUUCCGGAUGAGUUGCGAACGGGUGAGUAACGCGUAGGUAACCUGCCUGGUAGCGGGGGAUAACUAUUGGAAACGAUAGCUAAUACCGCAUAACAGUAGAUGUUGCAUGAUAUCUACUUAAAAGGUGCAAUUGCACCACUACCAGAUGGACCUGCGUUGUAUUAGCUAGUUGGUGAGGUAACGGCUCACCAAGGCGACGAUACAUAGCCGACCUGAGAGGGUGAUCGGCCACACUGGGACUGAGACACGGCCCAGACUCCUACGGGAGGCAGCAGUAGGGAAUCUUCGGCAAUGGACGGAAGUCUGACCGAGCAACGCCGCGUGAGUGAAGAAGGUUUUCGGAUCGUAAAGCUCUGUUGUAAGAGAAGAACGAGUGUGAGAGUGGAAAGUUCACACUGUGACGGUAUCUUACCAGAAAGGGACGGCCAACUACGUG